rnacentral:rRNA from 1 species
GACGAAGGUGGCGACCGUUGUUCGGAAUCACUGGGCAUAAAGAGCACGUAGGCGGCAAGGUAAGUCGGGUGUGAAAUCCCUCGGCCUAACCGAGGAAUUGCGCCCGAAACUACCGUGCUUGAGGAUGGAAGGGGAGCGUGGAAUUCCUGGUGGAGCGGUGAAAUGCGUUGAUAUCAGGAGGAACACCGGCGGCGAAGGCGACGCUCUGGUCCAUUUCUUACGCUGAGGUGCGAAAGCCAGGGGAGCAAACGGG